UAAUAAAUAUCGCCGGGUAUUUUAUUAAAGGUGUUAACAAACCAUUCUUAGGCCGUAGAUAGAAUGAUUUGUUAGCACCUUUUUUU
rnacentral:ncRNA from 1 species